rnacentral:rRNA from 1 species
UCAUGUGGCCAUACCGGCUGUAACCAUACUGGCUUGUCACAGCCUAAUCAUGUCAGAUCAGCAGGGCUGGGCCUGUUAGUACUUGGAUGAGAGACAGCUGGGAAUGCCAGGUACCACAGUGG